UACAGAGACCUCAAGCGUUAUCCGGAAUCAUUGGGCGUAAAGCGUACCGAUAGGUGGCUUAGAAAGUUUUGGGUAAAAGCCAGAAGCUUAACUUCUGAGUUUGCUCAAAAUACUUCUCAACUAGAGGGGCAAAGAGGUGCUUGGAACGAAUGGUGUAGUAGUGAAAUGCGUUGAUAUCAUUCGGAACACCGAAAGCGAAGGCAGAGCACUGGGUGCCACCUGACACUGCCAGGACGAAAGCGUGGGGAGCGAAUGGG
rnacentral:rRNA from 1 species